CCUACGGGCGGCAGCAGUGGGGAAUAUUGGACAAUGGGCGAAAGCCUGAUCCAGCCAUGCCGCGUGUGUGAAGAAGGCCUUCGGGUUGUAAAGCACUUUCAGUGGGGAAGAAAGCCUUGGGGCUAAUACCCUCGAGGAAGGACAUCACCCACAGAAGAAGCACCGGCUAACUCCGUGCCAGCAGCCGCGGUAAUACGGAGGGUGCGAGCGUUAAUCGGAAUUACUGGGCGUAAAGCGCGCGUAGGCGGUCUGAUAAGCCGGUUGUGAAAGCCCCGGGCUCAACUUGGGAACGGAAUCCGGAACUGUCAGGCUAGAGUGCAGGAGAGGAAGGUAGAAUUCCCGGUGUAGCGGUGAAAUGCGUAGAGAUCGGGAGGAAUACCAGUGGCGAAGGCGGUCUUCUGGACUGACACUGACGCUGAGGUGCGAAAGCGUGGGUAGCAAACAGGAUUAGAUACCCUGGUAGUC
rnacentral:rRNA from 1 species